GAUGAACGCUAGCGACAGGCUUAACACAUGCAGGCCGAGGGGCAGCGGGGUUGUAGCUUGCUAUAACUGCCGGCGACCGGCGCACGGGUGAGUAACACGUAUGCAACCUGCCCGUUGCAGGGGGAUAAGCGGAAGAAAUUCCGUCUAAUACCGCGUAAUAUACUUUAGGGCAUCCUUUAGUAUUAAAGAUUUAUCGGCAACGGAUGGGCAUGCGGCGCAUUAGCUAGUUGGUGAGGUAACGGCUCACCAAGGCAACGAUGCGUAGGGGUUCUGAGAGGAACGGUCCCCCACACUGGUACUGACGACACGGUCCAA
rnacentral:rRNA from 1 species